UUACGUGGGUUUACGUACAUUUUACACGGUUUUACACACGUUCACUGGGGUUUACAGUGGUCUUACACAGGUUUCACAUGGGUUGUACAUGGGUUACAUGGGCUUGCACUGGUGUGACACUGGUCUUACAUGGGUUUACACGGGUUUUACAUGGGGUUACACUGGUCUUACAUGGGUUUACAUGGGUUUACACUGGUCUUACAUGGGCCUACAUAUGUUUUACCUGUGUUUAUGUAGGUUUACUUGGCUUUCACAUGGGUUUACUCAAAUUUACACAGGUUUACAUGGGUUUACAUGUUUACAUGGGCUUUACAUGGGCUUUACAUGGUCUUACAUGGGUUUACACAGGUUUUACAUGGGUUUACAUGGUUUUAUAUGGGUUUACACUGGUUUUACACGGCUUUACGCUACUUUUACACUGGUCUUACAUGGGUUUAUACACGUUUUACAUGUGUUUAUGCAGGUUUACUUGGAUUUUACACAGGUUUACUCAAGUUUACACGGUCUUACAUGGGUUUACACAGGUUUUACAUGGUUUUAUAUGGGGUUACACUGGUUUACAUGGAUUUAUAUGGGUUUUACAUGGGUUUACACUGGUCUUACAUGGGUUUACACGUUUUACCUGUGUUUAUACAGGUUUACUCAAGUUUACCUGGUCUUACAUGGGUUUACAUUGGUUUUACAUGGGUUUACAUGUUUACACGGGUUUUACAUGGUCUUACAUGGAGUUACAUGGUCUUACAUGGAGUCUUACAUGGGUUUACACGGGUUUUACAUGGUCUUACAUGCGGUUACACUGGUCUUACAUGGGUUUGCAUGGGUUUUACAUGGGUUACAUGCAGUUACACUGGUCUUACAUGGGGUUACACUGGUCUUACAUGGGUUUUACAUGGGUUACAUGGGUUUUACAUGAGGUUACACUGGUCUUACAUGGGGUUACGUGGGGUUUAUGUGGACUUUACAUGGGUUUCUGCAUUUACUUGGGUUUACACUGGUCUUACAUGGGUGUACGCAGGUUUUACAUGGGUUUCACAUGGGUUUUACUGGUCUUACAUGGGGUUACACUGGUCUUACAUGGUCUUUACAUGGGUUUACAGUGGUCUUACAUGGGUUUACACAGGUCUUACAUGCGUUUACAUGGGUCUGACGUGGGUUUACACUGGUCUGAUGUGGACUUCACAUGGGUUUGCACAUUUAGGUGGGUUUACACUGGUCUGACAUGGGUUUACACUGGUCUUACAUGGACUUUACAUGGGUUUGCACAUUUAGGUGGGUUUAAAGUGGUCUUACACAGGUUUUACAUGGGCUUACACUGGUCUUACAUGGGGUUACACUGGUCUUACAUGGUCUUUACAUGGGUUUACAGUGUUACACGGGUUUACACAGGUCUUACAUGCGUUUACAUGGGUCUGACAUGGGUUUACACUGGUCUGACAUGGACUUUACAUGGGUUUACACAUUUAGGUGGGUUUACACUGGUCUGACAUGGGUUUUACAUGGGGUUACACGUGUCUUACAUGGGUUUACACUGGUUUUACACGGGUUUUACAUGGGGUUACACGGGUUUCACGUGGGUUUACUGGUUUACGUGGGUUUACACUGGUCUUACACGGGUUUUACAUGGAUUUACACGGGUUUUACAUGGACAUACACCCGUUUCACAUGCUUUUACGCUGG
rnacentral:lncRNA from 1 species